CUACGGGACGCAGCAGUGGGGAAUAUUGGACAAUGGGCGCAAGCCUGAUCCAGCCAUGCCGCGUGAGUGACGACGGCCUUAGGGUUGUAAAGCUCUUUCAGCAGGGAUGAUAAUGACAGUACCUGCAGAAGAAGCCCCGGCUAACUUCGUGCCAGCAGCCGCGGUAAUACGAAGGGGGCUAGCGUUGUUCGGAAUUACUGGGCGUAAAGCGCACGUAGGCGGAUUGCUAAGUCAGGGGUGAAAUCCCAGAGCUCAACUCUGGAACUGCCUUUGAUACUGGCAAUCUCGAGUCCGGAAGAGGUGAGUGGAACUCCUAGUGUAGAGGUGGAAUUCGUAGAUAUUAGGAAGAACACCAGUGGCGAAGGCGGCUCACUGGUCCGGUACUGACGCUGAGGUGCGAAAGCGUGGGGAGCAAACAGGAUUAGAUACCCGAGUAGUC
rnacentral:rRNA from 1 species